rnacentral:rRNA from 1 species
GAUGAACGCUGGCGGCAUGCCUAACACAUGCAAGUCGAUCGGUAAGGCUCUUCGGGGUACACGAGAGGCGGACGGCUGAGUAACGCGUAGGAACACACCCUGCAGUGAGGGAUAAGACACCGAAAGGUGUUCUAAUACCGCAUACGGUCUUCGGAUUAAAGCAUUUAUGCGCUGAAGGAGUGGCCUGCGUCAUAUUAGAUAGUUGGUGAGGUAAUGGCUCACCAAGUCGAUGAUGUGUAGCUGGUCUGAGAGGAUGAUCAGCCAGACUGGAACUGAGACACGGUCCAGACUCCUACGGGAGGCAGCAGUGAGGAAUAUUGCACAAUGAGCGAAAGCUUGAUGGAGCAAUGCCGCGUGCAGGAUGAAGGCCCUCGGGUUGUAAACUGCUUUUAUAAGAGAAGAUUAUGACGGUAACUUAUGAAUAAGGGACGGCUAACUACGUG